UACGUAGGGUGCGAGCGUUGUCCGGAAUUACUGGGCGUAAAGAGCUCGUAGGUGGUUUGUCGCGUUGUUCGUGAAAACUCACAGCUUAACUGUGGGCGUGCGGGCGAUACGGGCAGACUGGAGUACUGCAGGGGAGACUGGAAUUCCUGGUGUAGCGGUGGAAUGCGCAGAUAUCAGGAGGAACACCCGUGGCGAAGGCGGCCUGCUGGGCCGAUCCUGACGCUGAGGCGCGAAGGCGUGGGGAGCGAACGGG
rnacentral:rRNA from 1 species